CCUACGGGAGGCAGCAGUGAGGAAUAUUGGUCAAUGGGCGCGAGCCUGAACCAGCCAAGUAGCGUGAAGGAUGACUGCCCUACGGGUUGUAAACUUCUUUUAUAAAGGAAUAAAGUGAGGCACGUGUGCCUUUUUGUAUGUACUUUAUGAAUAAGGAUAGGCUAACUCCGUGCCAGCAGCCGCGGUAAUACGGAGGAUCCGAGCGUUAUCCGGAUUUAUUGGGUGUAAAGGGAGCGUAGAUGGGUUGUUAAGUCAGUAGUGAAAGUUUGCGGCUCAACCGUAAAAUUGCAAUUGCUACUGGCAGCCUUGAGUACAGUAGAGGUAGGCGGAAUUCGUGGUGUAGCGGUGAAAUGCUUAGAUAUCACGAAGAACUCCGAUUGCGAAGGCAGCUUACUAAACUGCCACUGACAUUGAUGCUCGAAAGUGUGGGUAUCAAACAGGAUUAGAUACCCUAGUAGUC
rnacentral:rRNA from 1 species